rnacentral:rRNA from 1 species
CCGUCUUUAGUGUGGUGGUUGGAAAGUUUUUUCGGUGCAAGAUAGCUCGCGGCCUAUCAGCUUGUUGGUGGGGUAGAGGCCUACCAAGGCGUCGACGGGUAGCCGGCCUGAGAGGGUGUACGGCCACAUUGGGACUGAGUACGGCCCAGACUCCUACGGGAGGCAGCAGUGGGGAAUAUUGCACAAUGGGCGGAAGCCUGAUGCAGCGACGCCGCGUGGGGGAUGACGGCCUUCGGUUGUAAACUCCUUUCGACAGGGACGAAGCGUAAGUGACGGUACCUGUAUAAGAAGCACCGGCUAACUACGUGCCAGCAGCCGCGGUAAUACGUAGGUGCGAGCGUUGUCCGGAAUUACUGGGCGUAAAGAGCUCGUAGGUGGUUUGUCGCGUCGUCUGUGAAAUUCCGGGGCUUAACUUCGGGCGUGCAGGGAUACGGGCAUAACUUGAGUGCUGUAGGGGUAACUGGAAUUCCUGGUGUAGCGGUGAAAUGCGCAGAUAUCAGGAGGAACACCGAUGGCCAAGGCAGUUACUGGGCAGUUACUGACGCUGAGGAGCGAAAGCAUGGGUAGCAAAACAGGAUUAGAUACCCUGGUAGUCCAUGCC